CUUUUCGAGGUAGGAGUCGACUCCUGUGAGGUAUGGUGCUGGGUGCAGAUGCAGUGUGGCUCUGGAUAGCACCUUAUGGACAGUUGUGUCCCCAAGGAAGGAUGAGAAUAGCUACUGAAGUCCUAAAGAGCAAGCCUAACUCAAGCCAUUGGCACACAGCUCCUGGUAACGUUUUUAUCCAUGGAUGACUUGCUUGGGUAAGGACAUGAAGACAGUUCCUGUCAUACCUUUUAAAGGUAUGGAGAGUCGGCUUGACUACACUGUGUGGAGCAAGUUUUAAAGAAGCAAAGGACUCAGAAUUCAUGAUUGAAGAAAUGCAGGCAGACCUGUUAUCCUAAACUAGGGUUUUUAAUGACCACAACAAGCAAGCAUGCAGCUUACUGCUUGAAAGGGUCUUGCCUCACCCAAGCUAGAGUGCAGUGGCCUUUGAAGCUUACUACAGCCUCAAACUUCUGGGCUCAAGUGAUCCUCAGCCUCCCAGUGGUCUUUGUAGACUGCCUGAUGGAGUCUCAUGGCACAAGAAGAUUAAAACAGUGUCUCCAAUUUUAAUAAAUUUUUGCAAUCCA
rnacentral:lncRNA from 1 species